GGAGAUAAGAGAGUGAUCUUGCUCACAGUGUCUGUUAACCUGUGAAGUUAAUUGAAUGAAAAUGAUCAACUAAGCUUGUAUUAAUAUUGCUAAUGGAACUUUCUUCUUGGCCAUGUUUGGAGAAAGAUGUCAAGCUAGACUUUAGGAAGGGCCCAUUAAUGCUUGCACUUAACCUGAUGGGCUAAUUAAGGAAUGCUUAUUCAUCCUCCAAGUCCACGAGAGUCUCUCUCCAGCCCGUUCUGCCUGGUGUUAACGGUAGCAUAUUUGUUUUCCUUUCAAUAUUUGAUUAAAC
rnacentral:lncRNA from 1 species